UACAGAGGGUGCGAGCGUUAAUCGGAAGUACUGGGCGUAAAGCGCACGUAGGCGGCUUGGUAUGUCGGGUGUGAAAUCCCCGGGCUCAACCUGGGAACUGCAUCCGAAACUGCCUUGCUAGAGUAUGGGAGAGGGAAGUGGAAUUUCCGGUGUAGCGGUGAAAUGCGUAGAUAUCGGAAGGAACAUCAGUGGCGAAGGCGACUUCCUGGACCAACACUGACGCUGAGGAGCGAAAGCCAGGGGAGCAAACGGG
rnacentral:rRNA from 1 species